AACGAACGCUGGCGGCAGGCCUAACACAUGCAAGUCGAGCGAGAUCUUCGGGUCUAGCGGCGGACGGGUGAGUAACGCGUGGGAAUAUGCCUCUUGGUACGGAAUAGCCUCGGGAAACUGGGAGUAAUACCGUAUGUGCCCUUUGGGGGAAAGAUUUAUCGCCAAGAGAUUAGCCCGCGUUGGAUUAGGUAGUUGGUGGGGUAAUGGCCUACCAAGGCGACGAUCCAUAGCUGGUUUGAGAGGAUGAUCAGCCACACUGGGACUGAGACACGGCCCAGACUCCUACGGGAGGCAGCAGUGGGGAAUCUUAGACAAUGGGGGCAACCCUGAUCUAGCCAUGCCGCGUGAGUGAUGAAGGCCUUAGGGUUGUAAAGCUCUUUCAGCUGGGAAGAUAAUGACGGUACCAGCAGAAGAAGCCCCGGCUAACUCCGUG
rnacentral:rRNA from 1 species